rnacentral:rRNA from 1 species
UACGUAGGUGGCAAGCGUUGUCCGGAUUUAUUGGGUUUAAAGGGUGCGUAGGUGGUCUAUUAAGUCAGUGCUGAAAUAUCCCGGCUUAACCGGGAGGGUGGCAUUGAUACUGAUGGACUUGAGUAAAGUUGAGGUGGGCGGAAUUGACGGUGUAGCGGUGAAAUGCUUAGAUAUCGUCAAGAACACCUAUUGCGAAGGCAGCUCACCAAGCUUUAACUGACACUGAGGCACGAAAGUGUGGGGAUCAAACAGG